rnacentral:rRNA from 1 species
CGGGUAGCCGGCCUGAGAGGGCGACCGGCCACACUGGGACUGAGACACGGCCCAGACUCCUACGGGAGGCAGCAGUGGGGAAUAUUGCACAAUGGGCGAAAGCCUGAUGCAGCGACGCCGCGUGAGGGAUGACGGCCUUCGGGUUGUAAACCUCUUUCAGUAGGGAAGAAGCGCAAGUGACGGUACCUACAGAAGAAGCACCGGCUAACUACGUGCCAGCAGCCGCGGUAAUACGUAGGGUGCGAGCGUUGUCCGGAAUUAUUGGGCGUAAAGAGCUCGUAGGCGGCUUGUCACGUCGGAUGUGAAAGCCCGGGGCUUAACCCCGGGUCUGCAUUCGAUACGGGCAGGCUAGAGUUCGGUAGGGGAGAUCGGAAUUCCUGGUGUAGCGGUGAAAUGCGCAGAUAUCAGGAGGAACACCGGUGGCGAAGGCGGAUCUCUGGGCCGAUACUGACGCUGAGGAGCGAAAGCGUGGGGAGCGAACAGGAUUAGAUACCCUGGUAGUCCACGCCGUAAACGUUGGGAACUAGGUGUGGGCGACAUUCCACGUUGUCCGUGCCGCAGCUAACGCAUUAAGUUCCCCGCCUGGGGGAGUACGGA